rnacentral:lncRNA from 1 species
GCCGAAUAACAGAGUGAAUCAAUGAGGCUAAAAUUAAAUGGGAAUACAUAUAUGUAUAUAUACAUUCCACUUCAGCAGCUGUUUACAUAAACUGGACAUUUCUUUUCUGUUUGUAAAAGCUGGUCACAAACACAGAAAUAAAAUACCAAGUUCAAAAUCUGAGGUCCCAUAUCUCUCUGACUAUUUGAUGUGCGACACAGGAAGAAAGAUCAGAUGACUGGAGGAGCACAAGAAAAACAAACAAAUGCGGAGACUGGGUGUUGAUGAAGAAUUUAUCAUAAUGGUAAAUUCCUAAAACAAAUUAGGACAGCUUAUAGCACACUGGAGCACACUAGCCUUAUCCCAUAUAUAACUUUUUAUGAGACACAGCUGCACCUUCACUUUACCGGAGCAAAUUGAAAGCUCAUUUAGAACCUGAGAUAUCCACAGAUAUUGCUGACUGAAAAUACAGCUCCAGAACAGUAGCAUCACUCACAAAAUGGUGCUCACCAACUGCAGUGUUUCAAUUUGACUUGUUUCUAUAAAGGAUGACAUGUGAAACAUCACUGUGGGAUACAAGACAUUUUUGGCUAACUGAUACAGCAUAAAUGUCUCAUGACCACCAUUUCUGCAGUGUUGAUUAUCUGCUCAAGGUGUAUGCAUGCCUACGCACCCUUAUACUACAUACCUGCUAUGCUAAUGUGCC